rnacentral:hammerhead_ribozyme from 1 species
ACCCAGCUGACGAGUCCAAAAUAGGACGAAACGCGCGUCCUGAAU